rfam:Haemonchus contortus, ISE/inbred ISE, WGS project CAVP01000000 data, contig: Hcontortus_34544
ACUUCUAUCGUUUUCGAGUGUCACAGUGGUUUUACAAACUGAGGUAUUGUAAACCCUCUGUCUUCACUUCGAAAAUGAGAGGG